rnacentral:rRNA from 1 species
AGACCCGAAACCCGGUGAUCUAGCCAUGGGCAGGUUGAAGGUUGGGUAACACUAACUGGAGGACCGAACCGACUAAUGUUGAAAAAUUAGCGGAUGACCUGUGGCUGGGGGUGAAAGGCCAAUCAAACCGGGAGAUAGCUGGUUCUCCCCGAAAGCUAUUUAGGUAGCGCCUCGUGAAUUCAUCUCCGGGGGUAGAGCACUGUUUCGGCUAGGGGGCCAUCCCGGCUUACCAACCCGAUGCAAACUGCGAAUACCGGAGAAUGUUAUCACGGGAGACACACGGCGGGUGCUAACGUCCGUCGUGAAGAGGGAAACAACCCAGACCGCCAGCUAAGGUCCCAAAGUCAUGGUUAAGUGGGAAACGAUGUGGGAAGGCCCAGACAGCCAGGAUGUUGGCUUAGAAGCAGCCAUCAUUUAAAGAAAGCGUAAUAGCUCACUGGUCGAGUCGGCCUGCGCGGAAGAUGUAACGGGGCUAAACCAUGCACCGAAGCUGCGGCAGCGAACGUAUCACUUAAAGCGAUUCAGCGGGUUACGAUUGACGGAGCGAAGCGACGUCAAAGCGUAUACAAAGUCGAGUCGGUUUAAGGAUACGUUCGUUGGGUAGGGGAGCGUUCUGUAAGCCUGUGAAGGUGUGUCGUGAGGCAUGCUGGAGGUAUCAGAAGUGCGAAUGCUGACAUAAGUAACGAUAAAGCGGGUGAAAAGCCCGCUCGCCGGAAGACCAAGGGUUCCUGUCCAACGUUAAUCGGGGCAGGGUGAGUCGACCCCUAAGGCGAGGCCGAAAGGCGUAGUCGAUGGGAAACGGGUUAAUAUUCCCGUACUUGGUGUUACUGCGAAGGGGGGACGGAGAAGGCUAUGUUGGCCGGGCGACGGUUGUCCCGGUUUAAGCGUGUAGGCUGGUUUUCCAGGCAAAUCCGGAAAAUCAAGGCUGAGGCGUGAUGACGAGGCACUACGGUGCUGAAGCAACAAAUGCC